UGGCCUGUUUUAGGUAACGUUUGGCCCCCCUUUUCUUGGACAUCGGGCUUGACCGAUCGGCCAGAUGUUCUGUGUCCGCCUACUCCCCUUCCGAGACGGUCCCGGGCUCACAUGAUCUAACAGGUGUUCUUGGCCAUAAGUCUUUCCUCCCUUGAUUGUAUACAUUCUGACUCUAAUAUACGAGCACCCUGACAAAGCCCCUCUCACUCGGUGGACAUUCCCCUCUGUCGUUCAUCAUCGUAUCGCGUUUAUUUUAGAACUAGUGUUUUAGUUCGGUCGAGUCUACGAGUAUACUGUCCCGACACGUGUUCUCGACCCGAUUGAACUUCCGAAAUUCCCUGACAUAGCAAUUUUGCAAACAACCGAAAUUCCGACGUGAUUUUAGGAUCCCUACACUAUUCAUCAAAUGUCACGGCACGCCACUCCUUUCUCAUAAAAAGUAUUCCGUCAUUCUUGACAGUGGAGUUUCUAGUUAUGUAUAUAAGAUGAAAAUGUCGAGUUUAAUGAAGCAAUAUCCGAAAAUCCUUGAACUUGUUUUCUAAAUUUGCAUUGUAAUUAGUCAACAAUGCGUUCAAUCGGUUGUUUGUUUCCGAAAGAAUCACUACGUGGAAAUAGUGAAUUACUUUCUCUUGACAUUUGUCACUGGGCUAUAAAACCUAUUUAUUCAUUAAAGCUUAUUCUCACGGUCUACGAUUGGCUAAAAAUUGUCUUGCCCCGUAAUGACUCAUCACGUGCCACCCUUUCUGUUCCGUUCUUCUGGUUUCUAAGUAUUUACAGACGUCGGGUUACUUGAGUUUACGCUUUGAGUUCAGUUAGGUUUACGUUUAGUUGAUGAAAUUCACAAUUCGUUACUUCUGACGAGGACACAAUCGAUCUUGGCCGAGAUUACCUGGGGAUGACAGUUUGUAUUUUAAGUGUCUGACGUUUAUGAGCGAUGACUUCAACAGAUGAAAAUUAGAAAACGAAGAAGUGAAGAUGGGUGUCCAGAGGCGGAUUUAGCAUUAUAAUCUCUUGGUUAUAAUGUUCUUGUUGCCCUUUUAGGUGUUGUCGCUUGCUUUUACUCGCAAUUAGUAACCGGGUGUUAAAAAUGGAGCGUGACUUCAAACUCUAAUUUAUCGGUCGUGGUAGGAGAAUUGCUAACGAUCUUUCCCGUAUUCGCGCCCAAGACAAAGUAAUGCGAUUUAAUGAAAUGAUGCGAUGAAGUGAAAUUCAGGGAAGAAAAGCCCUGAAAAUUUAGUUCCCGAUUCUCUUUAUCAUACCCCAAAACGGGACAAAAGAAUCCGUAACCGAAAUUGAAAUACUGCAUUUAAUGGAAAUGUUCGAUGUCAAUUUGAUUUCAUUCUUGAAAAAACAUAACUCGAAAGGAAAUAAAAAAACAAAAAGGCAUCAUUUCUUAAUUGUCAUUCAACAACUGUGAAAGAAGUGCAUUUUGAAUAUUGAUUGGAAGAAAAUCUUAAUUUGGAAGAUUUGAAUAUAGUAGGACAAAACUAUACAGAAUACGCUACAGAUAAUACAAUGCAAGACAAUUCUAACAGCGGAGAUACUACUACAUCAAUAAUCUCUACACAGGAUGAAAAUUUCACAGAACUUUCAGAUAUUUUGUACAGAUGCGAUGCAGCCGUCCUCCUAAAUGAAGUCUUCGGGCAGAGAUCAAGAAUCUUUGAGUAACGAAGUUUUAUUAAUUGUCAAUGAUCAUUUUAGAGACUCCAUGUUCAAGAUGAUCGUUUUGAUAUUUUUGGAAAAUUUGUUGCAUGAAAUUGCGUGGUUUCCAAGACAACAAAUGCUGAUAUCUGAAAAACUGAUAAACGAAACUUUGUUUCAACUUUAUUUCACAAAUUGGUUUAUGAAGCUCAACACGUGUCACAGCAAUUUAUUCGAUACCAAUCAUCAAUUUCUAGCUCAUCUUUUUCAUAUUCAGGUAUUUCCAGUCCCUCUUCAGCACUUCCGUCCAACUACAUCAGGAGCAAGAACAAUAUCAGAAAGGAUAAUCUCAAUAAUCACCAUGUUAAAAUGAGAGUUUCAUUUGUUUUAAAUUUUAAUGUUAAUGUGAUUUGGCAUUUUCUACAUUAUGACAAUAAAGUAACACUAUCUAUUAAAAAGAAAAAUUUGUUCUUACCUUUUUAAAUAAUCUUUAUGAAGGACUUUGUAAAUUGCUUGUUUGUUAAAAUAUGGCAACGCAACUAGGGGGUGCCUUCCGGGAGGUCUUUUUAAGGGAAACUGCCCCCUAUUUAGGCG